UACGUAGGGUGCGAGCGUUAAUCGGAAUUACUGGGCGUAAAGCGUGCGUAGGCGGUUGGCAAAGUCAGCUGUGAAAGCCCCGGGCUUAACCUGGGAAUGGCGGUUGAAACUAGUCGACUAGAAUCUGGCAGAGGGGGGUGGAAUUCCCCGUGUAGCAGUGAAAUGCGUAGAGAUGUGGAGGAACACCGAUGGCGAAGGCAGCCCCCUGGGCUGAGAUUGACGCUCAGGCACGAAAGCGUGGGGAGCAAACAGG
rnacentral:rRNA from 1 species